AUUGAACGCUGGCGGAAUGCUUUACACAUGCAAGUCGAACGGCAGCACGGACUUCGGUCUGGUGGCGAGUGGCGAACGAGUGAGUAAUAUAUCGGAACGUAUCCAAUAAUGGGGGAUAACUAAUCGAAAGGUUGGCUAAUACCGCAUACGUCCUACGGGAGAAAGCUAGGGACCUUCGGGCCUGGCGUUAAUGGAGCGGCCGAUAUCGGAUUAGCUAGUUGGUGAGGUAAAGGCUCACCAAGGCGACGAUCCGUAGCUGGUCUGAGAGGACGACCAGCCACACUGGAACUGAGACACGGUCCAGACUCCUACGGGAGGCAGCAGUGGGGAAUUUUGGACAAUGGGCGAAAGCCUGAUCCAGCCAUUCCGCGUGAGUGAAGAAGGCCUUCGGGUUGUAAAGCUCUUUCGCAAGAGAAGAAAACUUACCCUCUAACAUAGGGUGAGGUUGACGGUAUCUUGAUAAGAAGCACCGGCUAACUACGAGCCAGCCGCCGCGGUAA
rnacentral:rRNA from 1 species